AGCAGCUUGCUGUAAAGCUGCAUGAUCUGAAAUGUGUUUUCAUGAAUGAUUAAGCCUUAUUAGGUUUGUUUGUUCUCAUUGAACAUGAGAAAUAAAGCCUGGUUUAGGCUCAAAACUGAACAUUUCAUCCAGGGUUUACCAAUCUGUGCUUCAUAAUCAUCACCAUUCAUAAAAUGGUAAAUUAAAUCAUUUAAAAAUUAAACAUUUACCAAAAAAAUACAGAAAAAUAUAUUUGUUUUGCUGCAUGUCAUGUGAUCUUUUACUGACAUCAGAGAACCGUGAAUGUGUUGGUAAAUUAUUGAAAUAUUACUUUAAAAUCUUAUGGAAACUUUCGGAUCAAAUGGGUUUGUUUUAUGAAAACGUUUGGGAAUCACUGACAUACAGGAAAAAUGCAAGGCUUGUGAAAGUGACAACCAAAAUGUGUGAUGCAUCCUGAAGUCCAAUGACAGUAAAGACUGACCAACUGACCAACUGACUGACCAAUGCUGACCAACGUUUGACAUUCAUGUCUGUAGGAGGCGUCUGUAGACUCGAGUGCGUGUGCGGUGGCGUGCCGUCCGCGCAGGCGCUGGUCCUGUCGUGUGGGAUCGCUGGAGCUCAUGGUGAAGUCUAUGCUGGAGCUGCGGCAGCUCGAUUCACUCUCUGAAGCUCCAGUCCAGAGCCGAAGCUGCGCUGAACGACUGCGGGACGAGGAUCGAGGCAGCACCUCCAGCCUGCAGGAUUGGAGUCUCCGGCGUCCUCGUGACUCGGCCUGGCUGGUUCCUGUCGGCGCUCCUGAACCUGAGGGUGUGGUUCUGUACCCGGAUCACUGUCCCAGCACCAGCAGCCUGCCUGGACCGUCCUACCGGAUACAGGCUCUGUCUGAGACCAUCGAACAUGAGGAGAGAGCAGAAGAAGCUCAGAGUCCCGUCAGUGGCGCCUCCAUGGGCUACGGCAGCGGAGGAUCCAGUCCAGACCACCGACACCACGAUGUGGAGGCGCUGGGCUCUGACGAUGAAUCCUGUGAUGGUAGCAGUAGCACACGGCCAAUCUGUGAUUCUGAGAGUGUUCCGCAUCAGGACGUCUGGAGGAGAAGCUCUGAGACGCUGACGGACGGCAACAAUGCAGGGUCUCAGAUGAGAUCUGAAGGAAGCAUCUCAGCAUGCUUGCACAGCCAGAAGUCCUCUAGCAGGAUGGACUCGGCAUUUCCUCAUCAGUCUGGCAGAUCCAGUGUGGCAGUGAAGCCCACGGUCAGCGGCGUCAGGCCCCUGAUGGAGGACGCAGGUGACCCCGAUCGUCCAGAGCAGCGCCGCGUCCCGCAGAGGAGCCACCCGUACCUGAGCCGCGUCUCCUGCCCCGUCAGCAGGACCUCAGCUGGACUCCAGAAAUCUGCUUCAGCACACAGUCUGAGCAGCCACCGUGAGUGUUUGAUCUGAUGAGGGCUGAUCAGCAAAUGCUCUGGAAUACAUCACACUGAUUGAGCGUUCAUCAUUAGGUCAAGUAUUUUU
rnacentral:lncRNA from 1 species